rnacentral:rRNA from 1 species
UACGAAGGGGGCUAGCGUUGUUCGGAAUUACUGGGCGUAAAGCGUAUGUAGGCGGAUCGUUAAGUCGGGGGUGAAAUCCCGAGGCUCAACCUCGGAACUGCCUUCGAUACUGGCGAUCUUCGAGUCCGGGAGAGGUGAGUGGAACUCCGAGUGUAGAGGUGAAAUUCGUAGAUAUUCGGAAGAACACCAGUGGCGAAGGCGGCUCACUGGCCCGGUACUGACGCUGAGACGCGAAAGCGUGGGGAGCGAACAGG